rnacentral:rRNA from 1 species
AUGAACGCUGGCGGCGUGCCUCAUACAUGCCAGUCGAGCGAACAGACGAGAAGCUUGCUCCUCUGACGUUAGCGGCGGACGGGUGAGUAACACGUGGAUAACCUACCUAUAAGACUGGGAUAACUUCGGGAAACCGGAGCUAAUACCGGAUAAUAUAUUGAACCGCAUGGUUCAAUAGUGAAAGACGGUUUUGCUGUCACUUAUAGAUGGAUCCGCGCCGCAUUAGCUAGUUGGUAAGGUAACGGCUUACCAAGGCAACGAUGCGUAGCCGACCUGAGAGGGUGAUCGGCCAUACUGGAACUGAGACACGGUCCAGACUCCUACGGGAGGCAGCAGUAGGGAAUCUUCCGCAAUGGGCGAAAGCCUGACGGAGCAACGCCGCGUGAGUGAUGAAGGUCUUCGGAUCGUAAAACUCUGUUAUUAGGGAAGAACAAAUGUGUAAGUAACUAUGCACGUCUUGACGGUACCUAAUCAGAAAGCCACGGCUAACUACGUG